GGAUGUGAGGGCGAUCUGGCUGAGACAUCUGUCACCCCAUUGAUCGCCAGGGUUGAUUCAGCUGAUUUGGCUGGCUAGGCGGGUAUCCCCUUCCUCCCUCACCGCUUCAUGUGCAUCCCUCCUGAAGCUGCACGCUCGGUCAAAGAGGACGGCCUUCCCCGAAUAGAGACGGACCAGCCUUCGGUUGAGGGUAUACGAGUAGCUGUGCUCCUCUGCUAGAACCUCCAAAUAAGCUCUCAAGAAAUGGAAAGACAGCCCAUGCUCAUGGAUCAGAAGAAUAAAUGUCAUCCAAAUUUACAUUCUACCCAGAGCCAUAUACAAAUUU
rnacentral:snRNA from 1 species